AUCUGGCCCCUCUCUUCUGAGCCUUGCCCACUAGUUACUGGCACGGGAGGGUAUGAGCACCAGUGACCCAAGGAAUUCCAUGUCACCCACCAUUCAUAGACACAGGAAGAGUAGGCAACAUGCUCUCCCCACUGACCCCACCAUGAGAGAAUCUGGGGAAGGUCUAAAAUGAACAGAGUCAAGCUUCAGAAGGAAAUGGAUGGCUUUCUCAACGUCAAAGGGUUCACAUCACUUGAAUCAUGGAGAGCUGAGAAAGGACCUGGAUCAGAGACCACUUCACUUCAUUGAACUAAGUUUGUCCUAAAGGGAUCACCAUACACAUUUUACAUUUACUCUAAAGGGGUCUCUACACAGCAAACACUCACCUAGCUUGAUGACAGUUCUUACAGCCUAUUCUUACAAAGGCCCAAACAGGACAACCUUAGAGAAACUAUUCAAUCUCCUCGUGUCUUCCAGACUGAAGGAAAAUAAAAUGAAAACCUCUCCAAGGAUUGAUAUUAGGUGACAUGCCUUGAGACACUGAAGCACUAAAGCAGGGACACACAGUGAGCUAAACACAAGUCAGUGCUUGCAAUGUUAAUGGCAAGGACAGGGACAAUGAUGGCCCCAUCUUAUAGACUGGAGGGUUUCGGGAGGCCAUUCAUUCUCUUGGUGAAUGGCUGUGACAUUUGAUGACAGUGUAAAGAAGCUCACCCCACCUUUGUUCCGGGCCCUACCAAGUCUGCUAAAAGUACACACUGCAACCUUGAGAUGCUGAGACGUGUUUCCUAACCUUUACUUACAGGCAUCCCAAUGGUAGACAACUCGUGUUCCCCCUUCUGAUCAACCCUGAGAACAAUGCCAACCAUUUCCUGUAAUGAAAGCAACUAAAAAUAUUUUUUGAUGAUGGAGAUGGUGAAAGUUGAGCAACACAGAGCAGAAUACGGAAAUGAUACCAAGAGGCACCCAGCCAACGAAUUGAGCAUCCCACCUGGCUUUCAUCUCCCAGAACUGCCCAAAGACUCAAUAUCUUGUUUUUCCUAUUCCUGGAACCUGCACCACGUCUUUCUUUGUACACUCACUCCAUCUAGUAGAGAAAAAAAAUUUAGUCAGCCAUGACUAAUGGCAAAUGAUUGUAUCAAAUUGUUGCCAGCAAUUUAAGCAGCAAAAUAGCAUAACUUUCUCUUCUUCAUGAGCCUCGGAGGAGCUCCAAUGACUCAAGGAGUGCUUCACAUUUUGUACACUCAACAAUCUCUUUCAUAUUUAUGAUCAAAUUGAUACUAAUGUUAUGAUCAGAUAUAUUCCAUAACACUAUCAAUGAGAAUUGUGACUGUCCUAUUAAACCAAACUAUGCAUUAAUGUAUUUUAACUCCCAACUCCAUGAUGUAGGACACAGUCACUGUCCCCCAACCCCCUCUUACAUUGAAGAAACUGAGGCACAGAGAGAAGGAAUGAUCUGAGAUCAUGUCACCAACCAAUAAUGGUCUUUUAUCACCCAAGGCCCUGCUUGUCUGAUGCCGUGGUUUUCAACCCUCUCUCAUUUCAGGGUAUGGCCCAUCUUCAAAGGAGGCCUCAGCCCUGCUAUAAGGAACCCUCUUUUUUUCUUUGCAAAUAAAUUUUUCCUCUUUGCCUGCCUGGAAAAGGUGGCUCGGCAGCCAACUCAGUGAGCAGUUCUGUGACUUAGGAACAAAUAUGUAGCAGAGUUGAGUCUCUCCAGAUGUUGAGCUAAAUAAGGCACAAGAGGAUCGCCUAGAUCUAGAUGACUCUUAAAGCCAAACUGGGAGUGGAGGGAACACCAGAACACUCAAGAGGAUAAACGUUCUUAUUCAAGAGUCCCCACCAUGUGCCAGAAACCCCACAGAAGGCAGGUGUCAGGAUAAAGAGCCAGCCCACUAUGUGAUUAAACAUGACCAUUUUCUGCCUUUCUCUGCCCCACCCUGUAGGAAUACUAUCUACCCCUGAACUGUUGAACUCAAGGGUGACUAUUCAACCAUGCUGGCUGAUACAAUGUUGACAGAGUUGACACAUACCUUCCAGUUCGUGAUCUGCCACCCCAGAUUGGCAAUAUUUCUAAGACAGGCUGCCCAGGAUCCCAAAGAUCUAAAGAAGUCAAGCUGAGAAAGCGUGAUGUGUGAGCUGCUGUUUUCAGAUUGCUGUUAUAGCAACCUGACAAAGCCUUGUUUCACAGGGAAGCCUGAAGGACAUCCCAGAGCUGGUACUUGGUAGAGCCAGAAUGGUUCCCCACUAACAUUAAUGCAUGCUUCACAAGGUCACAGCUAGGCAAGUGCUAUGCAUGUAUCCUCUCCAUUGUCACAGAAAGUCUGUGUCAUUUAUAUAAAGUUCUUACUCAAAUUUUGAAUGAAAGUAUGGCACAACCUGUCUUCUGUUGCUUGAAAAAAAAAAUACCUGAAAUCAGUUCAUCUGAAAGAGCUUAUUUGGUUUAUGGCUCCAGAGACAGGAAAGCCUGUGAGCAUGGUGCUGCCAUGUGCCUGGUACCUGGUAAGGGCUUCUUACUGCAUCUUAACCUAGUACAGGGUGUCACACGGCCAAGCAGAGCAAGCAUUUCCUGCCCAUUUAUAUUCCUCUCUCUAUAAUCCACUAAUGCUAUAUUGGGCCCCACCUUCAUGUCCCCCCUUAAUCCUAAUUACCUCCUAAAUGCCUCACCUCCAGACUCCAUUAACACAUGAUUUUGGAGAUUAACUUUUGGAGGGUACAAUCAAACUGUAAGGACAUUUUAGCUCACACAGCUGAUAAGGAAGAUACAAGUGAAACUGACCAGAUGGCUUGCUAUCACUUGCUUAAGCUCUUGAUAACUAAGUUCAUGCUGUAUCCUUCUUCAAUUGAUGGAGUUGAGAAAGUGAAUGGAUGAAGUGAGUUUGCUAACCAGGAUGGGCCCAGGAGAUGGUACACUCAUGCUUUGAAAGUUACAAGAGGGGCUGGAGAGAUGGCUGAGAGGUUAAGAGCACUGACUGCUCUUCCAGAGGUCCUGAAUUCAAUUCCCAGCAACCACGUGGUGGAUCACAACCAUCUGUUAUGAUACCUGGUGCUCUCUUCUGGUGUGCAGACAUACAUGGAAGCAGAAUGUUGUAUACGUAAUAAAUAAAUAAAAUCUUUAAAAAAAGAAAAGAAAGUCACAAGAAAGAUGUCCUCUGUCCCAAGUGAUGACCAAUCAUAUGUCACUUUGUGUGUGAACCAAAGAGGUAGGAGGGACCAGAGCUCUCCCAUUGCUCUCUUAGCCCUGCUCACCUCCUUCCUCAGCACAGAGCUCCUGCAAAGCUGUUGACUCAUAGUCUCCACAGCCUCUCAUGUCAGUGCAUAACUGGAAAUACAAUGUGGGUAGUACCCACAGGAACUUGGAGGCAAGAGGGAAUAGAAUCUUUCAAAUGAAGACCUUUCAAGAUGGUGAACUCAGAUUACUAGAACCCAUGACAGGGAGGGAGGAACCUGACAAUGGCAGCAUGCACUUGUGAUUCCAGAGGUGGAGGAGGAGACAGCAGGCAGGAAGUAGAGACAAGCAGAUGAUCCGUGGGGCUUUCUAGCCAUUAGACUAGACUAAUCAGCAAGUUCUAAGUAAAAACUGAGAGACCCUAUUACAAAAAGCCAAAGUGGAGAUCAGCUAAGAAAGACAUAAGACAUUGGCCUCUGGUUUCCACAUGCAUACUCAAGUACAUGUACACACACACACACAAAAAAAAAAAACCUGCAUAGAUGCAUAAAAAUAAAUGAAUGAAUAAAGGAAAAAGGAUGGAAGGCAGGCUCUCAUGCUCGCAUGACAAGCACUUCAUCAGCUAAAUCCUAUCUGUAGCACUCCAAUCCUUUUAACACAUGGACCUUUGGGGGACCAUUGUCCAUUCUAUAGCAAUAGAGGCAGGAAGCUUAACCUGUGGGCUGCAGUUCCUGAACUACAAAGUGGGAAGGAUUAUGACUGCUUGACACUAUUGCAAGAAUUGGAAAUGCAGAUCAAAAACAUUCUACUAUGGAGGAAGUAGUCACCCAAUGACAAUUGCUGCCGCUAAUGGAAGUUGCCACAGUUUGAAUGCCAAGUGUCCCUCUAAUCCCCAACUGUGCUGUCUAACAUGGGGCUACUACUGGAAGGUGAAGAACUUUUACUGCAUGAGAAUAGAUGAAAUUCGUUCUUUAGUGGGACUGUAGGACCUUGUCUCCUCCUGCUGCAGAUUCAAUUCUCAGCCACAAGAUGAGAAGUUUGCUCUACUCAAUAUUCCUACCAUGUCAAACAACCUCAUCACAGACUAAAGUAGUGGGCCCUACCUUCCAGGACAGACACAUAUAAAGCUCUGAGCCCUGAUCAACCUCUCUGUGGAUGUCACUUACCUCAGGCAUCUGUUAACAUGAUGGAUACCCGAUUUACACUGAAACUGUUAUUCUGACAUCUGACACUGUGAAUAUCAGCUGGGCAAGAGUCAUAUUUUGCAGGGCAUAUGAUAGUGUGUGACCUAGAGCCUCACCUGAGAUGCUGAGGCAGGAGGAUUAUCAGUUCAAACACUGUGUUUAAGAAAGGAAGGAAGGAAGGAAGGAAGGAAGGGAGGGAGGGAGGGAGGGAGGGAGAAAGAAAGAAAGAAAGAAAGAAAGAAAGAAAGAGAAAAAAGUUGUUUAAAACAACUGGAUAUAGGCACUGAAGAGAUGCCUCAGCAGUUAAGAGUAUUUGUUACAGAUGGAAGCAGAUGCAGAAAUCCACAACUAACCAAUGGGCCAAGUUCCUGGAGUACAAUCGAAGUGAGGGAGGAGUGAUGAUAUGAACAAAGGAGUCAAGAUCAUAAUGGGGAAAGCCACAGAAUCAGCUGACCCAAGCUAGUGAGAGAUCACUGACUCAGGUCUGACAAAUGGGGAACCUGCAUAAGACUGAACUAGACUCCCUUAAUAUAGGUGGCAAUGGUUUGACUGGGACAAUAUAUGAGACCACUGGUAGUGGGUCUAAGAUCUAACACAAAUGGUCAAACUGACUUGGUAGAGCCCAUUAUAUGAAGAGAUACCUUGCCCAGCCUAGACACAGGAUUGUGGGGGUGGAGAGGUGCCUUGGUCCUGCCUCACCGAGAUGAUGAGACGGACUUAGUAGACUUCUUUGGGGAGGCCUUACCCUUUCUGUGGAACAGAUGGGAGGAGCGGGAAGUUGGGGGAGCAGGAGGAGAGGAGGGAUGGGCAACUGGGAUUGGAAUGAAAAAAAAUAAUUUUAAAAGAGAAAAAAACAGAUGAGGAAAGUGGGGGGAAGAAUACUUGUUACUUACACAGAGAACUUAAGUUCAAUUGCCAGCACUCGCAUGGUGGUUCACAAUUAUCUGUAACUCCAAGUACUCAUGUGUUAUAACCUCAUACAUAUAAAAUAAGUCUACAUUUUUUAAAAAUUAGAUUUAAUUCAAGUCUUGGUCAUGAGGUAAAGAACCUGUCCAGCUUCUUCCAUCAUUCCUGUGCUUCAUAUUUCUUCAGAAAAAUAGAACUAGUAUUUCUGAUUAAACCUAGCUCUUCACAUGGGUGGUAUUUAUUGUUAUUUAUUUAGAUAAUUUAUUAGUAAAAACUUAUUAGUAAUUUAUUCAGCUAUUGAAGAACAAUAAAAAGACGUUAAAAUAGAAAAAUGUAUGGAUAGAAGCCAAUAUAAGGUAGACUAUUUAUUAUAAAAACAUGGCAAUGGAUUUGUGCACGGUUUUUGCCCCUCCUCCUAGUGAGUCUGGAUCUCAGCCCCUGACUCUGGGCUUGAUGAUGCAAUUCACUUCCAACAGGACAAUAACAAAUGUAAAGUAAGAAAAGUGUCUCUAAAUCUGCCUUUUCUGACUUCCUUGAGACCAUGACGUAAGAAAGCUUACCUGAAGAUGAGAAACAAUGUGGAAUAAGACAGACCAGAUAGCUAGUGCCUGAAGAAUGAACCCAAGAGAAACUAGCAAAUAAACCAUCCAGUUGAGCCCAGCCCACAUUUUUGAGCCAGAAUUAUGAGCAAGCAUAGUGAUUGUUUAAAACAAGUGUUAAAGUGGUUUAUUCUGCACAAAAGAUAAGUGAUACAUAAAAUCAGGUGAUUUCAUAAGGACUUCAGGCUUCACAAUAAAUCCUCCUUCUCUUGGUACCAUCUCUUAAGUCACAGGUGUGCCUCACAGUCCUGCUUGGGGUUGUUAGUAAGGGUGAAUGGAAGGCUGGACUAAUCAAUCCCAUUCCUCUCACAUGUCAGUGAUCCAAGUGGUUGGUCUGUGGACCCCAGUUUCAGUGCUCUCCAAGGUUAGGCCAGCUUUGCUCAAGUCAAGGCCUGGCUCUUCUCCUAUCCCUCUGAUCCAGCAAGCGUCCCUGGUAUCCUUAAAGCAAAUUCAGUUCACCCUUGUGCUAGCUGGAGUUGGUAUCUGUCACUUGAACCCCACCCCCAGCUCUUGGUUAGCAAAAGUCACCUUCAAAGAGCUUUGAACCCUCUAGAUGAUGAGAAAAGAAGUCAGUAAGUGGCUGACCUUCCCAUGUGGAUCGCACCCUGAUGGUCUUGCAGAGGAGGAAGGGAGGAGGAAGCUUCACUGUCAUGGGAUGUCCCGUGUAGGAGUCCUCCCAGCUCAACUUACCACUCAAUUUUCCCCUUGAUCCACAGACUCAGCAAAUAGAGAGAGUUCUGCCAACACAGUAGACUUUGAAUUAUUCCUUGUUAGCUUGAAUUCUAAUGCCAUGUGUCAUCUGCUAGGAAAAAAAAAAAAACAGUAAGCAGGUCCCAUUCUUCACUGCUGGCCUAAAGCUAUCCAGAUGCUUGAAAGAAUGAGGAAGUGAAAGUCACUUUCCCCGAAUAUCCCAGAGCACAAAGGAGGGUGAAUGGUUGUAGUUUUUCUUGUGAUAUCUUGUGUAUGUGUACAUAUAAAUUUAAUGAGAGUAUAUGCAUGUGUGGGGGUGGGUGUCAGUGUGUGUGGAUGUGCGAGCACUCUCAAAAGUGUGUGUGAUAUAUAUUUGUGAGUGUAUUUAGACGCAGAUGUGCUUAUGCCAUGGUACAUGUGUGGAGAUCAGAGGACAGCUCUGUGGAGUUGAUUUUCUCCUUCCACCCAUACAUGAGCUCCAGGCAUGGGAUUUGGGUCAUCAGGCUUGUGAAAUGAGUGCUUUUACCCGCUGAGCCGUCUCUCUGGCCCCAGGAACUGUCUUUUUGGUGUUUGCUGCUCAUCUGCUAGGUUCACAAGCUUCCAGAGAUUCUCCUGCCUCCAUCUCACACCUCAUCAUAGGAAUUCUGGGAUUAUAGAGCUGUGCUACCAUGCUAGGGUUUCCAUGCAUUCUUGGGCUUCAAGCUCAGAUCUUCACAUGUGUGUGACAAGUACCUCACAUGGAACCCUUUCCCAAGCUCUUCCUGGUGACUCUUAAGACUUAAUUUCUCUGUUUCCUUUUAAGUUUGAUCACUUUCAGACACAGGUGACAGAAGGAAACACAUUUGUCAGAUUGGAUAUGCUUCUGUUGGGAAAAAACCAGCUCAGAGCAGACCUCAGAAGAAGCUCCAUUAGGGCCAUAAACUGCAAGGAAAGAAGAGCAGAGCAAGAAGAAGACAAUGAACCAAAUGCUCUUAACUACACAAAACUAGGUCCAUUGAAUCGUACAUAACUACCCACUAUCUCUGUUGUAGUUCCAUAGUCCAGAUACAGCCAUCUUUCCAACCCCCAAACUGGUUUGAAACAACAACCAUUACACUGGCUUGUGACUCUAUGAACCAACAAUUUGGGCUGGGCACAGUUGAGUGGUUCAUCUGUUGGUUUCUCUUGAUGUCCUUCUUCAGGUCUGGCCAUGUGUUUGAAAUCCCUGUUUCAACCCUGUGACAUGGCCAUUGUUCUUCAUUGUUCUUCAGCUGGCCAUGUGAAGAAGAAAUCAUCAUUUACAAUGGUGACAAUGGGCACCAUAGUCUAUCAAGCCCAGGACUAGGUGCUUUGCAUGGACUCAUUUACUUAAUCUUUCCCACAGUCUAAGGAAAGAGGCAGCGCUAUUAUCCCCAUCUUAUAGCACAAACUGAGCCACAUAAGAGAUUUAGUAACUUGAAAAUGUCACAUCACUCUUAAGUCACAGACCUAUGCCAUUGUGCACAGUUAUGCUCCAUAAUGUGUGAUCCAAUUGUCAUGACAGGAUGCCUGGCCUAUGGAUGGAGACUGCCUUGCGAUUUCAACUCCAAAUCUGAAGCCAGAAGACUUCUCUCACCCAUCCACCAUCCCAGAUGAACUGCUGAUUGUGCUGGCAUCAAGCCUGAACUGAGAAAGGAACAGCUGUGCUAUGCCUUAGUGGCAUUUUUGUUUAAGAGGCUAAGUUUGGGGUUGUGAGACCAUGGGGAAUAUCAUGCUAUAAGUUAGUAGAACUUGCUGCUCAUCAUUUCAUGUCACUGUAUCUCAGUUAUCAGAGCCACAAGACUAGAAAGCUAGACCAAUGAUGAGUAGGCCUCCAGCUGGGAUUUGGAGGAUCAAAUAUUCACUCAGCAGUUUCAAGUCAACAGAAAUAACUGGUUAGAAUUUCCAAGGUAGUCUCCACACACAAAAGCAAAGCAAAUCAGCCUGAAGGAAGGAACUGUAGUUCCUUUUAGCCUCUUUCCCCCCUGGCAAUUUAUUUCUAGGCUAUUUUUUUUAUAUUAAAGCAAAACAAAAAACAGGAUCUGCUGAGGGAAAAGAAGCAAGGAAGACUGUCUAGUUUGUCAUUAUAAACACCCUCUACCACCAAGGAACUUACUUCCUAACCCUCCAGCCCACACUG
rnacentral:lncRNA from 1 species